ACAACUACCCUGACCUGCUGGGCCCAGGCAAUCCAUCUGCCUCAGACUUCCAAUUAAUUAUAAUAAUUUCUUGCAUUUCCUCCGCUCCCGCACGUAAACAUAGUUUCUUCAGUGAGUGCACGCCUUCCUUAUCCCCUCCCGCAGGGUCCGCGGCCACCAUGGCGUAUUAGAGGCAGCAGUGCCUGCGGCAGCGUUGGCCUUUGCAGCAGCGGCAGCAGCACCAGGCUCUGCAGCGGCAACCCCCAGCGGCUUAAGUCAUGGCACUUCUCACAGCAUCCAGCAGCAGCGUUGCUGUAACCGACAAAGACAUCUUCGAAUUAAGCACAUUCCUUGCUUCCAUCAAAGCCCCACAACAUGACUGAGAUGAGCUUCCUGAGCAGCGAGGUGUUGGCGGGGGACUUUGUGUCCCCCUUUGAUCAGUCGGGCUUGGGGGCUGAAGAAAGCCUAGGUCUCUUAGAUGACUACCUGGAGGUGACCAAGCACUUCAAACCUCAUGGGUUCUCCAGUGACAAGACUAAGGCGGGCUCCUCCGAAUGACUGGUUGAGGAUGGGUUGGUCAGUGCCUCCAACAGUGGUUAGGAGGAUACCUUCUCCAGGACAGAUUGGAUGUUGGAGAAAAUGGAUCUGAACGAGUUUGACUUUAAUUCCCUGUUGGCUACAGAUGGCCUGGAAACCAUGCCAGAAGAGUUUUUGGCCACGUUCGAUGAUACCUGUGACCUCUUUGCCCCCCAGUCCAGGAGACUAUGAAGGUGCCUUCUCAGACAGUGAACCUAAUUGGCUAUCUCCCAGAAAGUUUAACAAAAACAGACCAGGUUGCCCCCUUCACCUUCCUGCAGCCUCUUUCCCUCUCUUCUUGGGUCCUGUUCUCCACUCCAGAUCAUUCCUUUAGUUUAGACCUGGGCAGUGAAGUGGAUGUCUCUGAAGGAGAAAAGAAGCCAGAAUCUACUGCUUAUAUCAUUCUGAUCCCUCAGUGUGUAAAAGAGGAAGACGCUCCCUCAGAUAAUGACAGUGGCAUCUGUAUGAGCCCUGAGUCCUACCUGAGCUCUCCCCAGCAUAGCCCCUCUGUCCCUGGUGGCUCUCCAAACAGGAGCCUGCCAUCUCCAGGUGCCCUCUGUGGCUCUGCCCGUCCCAAACCAUAUGACCCUCCUGGAGAAAAAAUAGUAGCAGCAAAAGUAAAGGGUGAGAAACUAGAUAAGAAGCUGAAAAAAAAUGGAGCAGAACAAGGUACCACUAGGUACCACCAGAAGAAGAGGGCAGAGCAGGAGCCCCUCACUGGUGAGUGUAAAGAGCUGGAAAAGAAGAAUAAGGCUCUGAAAGAGAGGGCAGAUUCCUUGGCCAAGGAGAUCCAAUACCUGAAAGAUUUGAUAGAAGAGGUCCGCAGGGCAAGAGGGGAAGAAAAGGGUCCCCUAGUUAUGGUAGUCAGGAGUAUUGUGUACUUGUACAUAGGAGUCUUGCACUGA